AUCCCUUUCAAUAUCAGGACAUUGUUCCAUAGUAUUAUUUGUUUGUUCUCUUAAUACAAGGUUUAACAAGGUAGUUAAUUCUGAAGAGGGUGAAUCAGGAGUUUGUAAUCUGUGAAAGAAACAAAAAUCUAAAUUCUCUGGCCAACCACUGAAAGUACUCAAUCUUCCUUCGUAUGUGGCAUGAUUUGGUUUUUUAGGAGCUGUAUGCGUUUGUAUCCCUAAUUCCGUGAGGUUUGAUGUUGCUCCAGGCAUUAACUUUACAUUGGAUAAAUAUAAUUGAUCUAAUAAUAAACAAGCUCAAAUAUAACAAUUGCUUCAAAUAAAAAAA